rnacentral:rRNA from 1 species
UGGGCAAGUCUGGUGCCAGCAGCCGCGGUAAUUCCAGCUCCAAUAGCGUAUAUUAAAGUUGUUGCAGUUAAAAAGCUCGUAGUUGAACCUUGGGUCUGGCUGGCCGGUCCGCCUCACCGCGAGUACUGGUCCGGCUGGACCUUUCCUUCUGGGGAACCUCAUGGCCUUCACUGGCUGUGGGGGGAACCAGGACUUUUACUGUGAAAAAAUUAGAGUGUUCAAAGCAGGCCUUUGCUCGAAUACAUUAGCAUGGAAUAAUAGAAUAGGACGUGCGGUUCUAUUUUGUUGGUUUCUAGGACCGCCGUAAUGAUUAAUAGGGAUAGUCGGGGGCGUCAGUAUUCAGCUGUCAGAGGUGAAAUUCUUGGAUUUGCUGAAGACUAACUACUGCGAAAGCAUUCGCCAAGGAUGUUUUCAUUAAUCAGGGAACGAAAGUUAGGGGAUCGAAGACGAUCAGAUACCGUCGUAGUCUUAACCAUAAACUAUGCCGACUAGGGAUCGGACGGGAUUCUAUAAUGACCCGUUCGGCGCCUUACGGGAAAC